UACGUAGGGGGCGAGCGUUGUCCGGAUUUAUUGGGCGUAAAGAGCUCGUAGGCGGUUUGGUAAGUCGGGUGUGAAAUCUCCACGCUCAACGUGGAGGGGCCACUCGAUACUGCCAUGACUCGAGUCCGGUAGAGGAGUGUGGAAUUCCCGGUGUAGUGGUGAAAUGCGUAGAGAUCGGCAGGAACACCCAGGGGGAAACCAGUCGACUGGGCAUCUACUGACGCUGAGGUGCGAGAGCGUGGGGAGCGAACCGG
rnacentral:rRNA from 1 species